ensembl:lncRNA
GCUGACAGAGAGAUUUCUCUUCGCCCCUGCAGAAGGCUGUAUUACUCACGCUGGGCUCUGCUCCUCCCAGGUGACUCCACCCAACUUGAUCGCCAAAUAAGGCAAUCCUGAGGGAGGAAUACUUGGCUGCAAUGAGAGGCUCAAUGGGGCGAAACCGGCCAAGCUCAGACGCUGGAAGUGUGCGCUGUGUUGUACAUCCGCGCUGCCUGCCGCGUGUCUCAGCGAGGCCUGGAAGUGCUGUCUGAGCAGUCUCGAAGGCCACCUGCAGCUGGGAACGGCCACCAGGGCAUUUUCUGCUUGGGGGUCUAGGGAUGGGAAUGCCAGCUGUAGGGAAAAGCCACUCCCCACCUGUACCCACGAGGGACCAUGGUAAUAAUGACCAGGGUUCACAGGAGCUGGGCUCUGUGGUCAUAUACUUGCUCACACAGCCUCACAC